GCAGAAAAGGAGUGAGCAGAACCUGGUGGUGAGUAUUUUUCACUGAACACUGGUUUCUCUUCACCUCAAUACGUUAUUGUUUAAAACCAGUAUUUGUUUAAAUCUGACCAAGAAUUUUAAAGGGAAGGACUCACUCAUAUGCCCCUUGAAAUCAAGGAAAUAAUUUCUGAGCAAGGCUAGUGGAAUAGUAGAUGAGCAUUAAAUAAAUUUUAGAGUGUUAAAGGCAUAAGUGCUGGUGUCAGUAGUUUCACUGUGAUGGAGAGCAAAUGGGAUGGUAACCAGCUGAUACACACCUCAACAAGGAGCUCACGGGGGCAGCUAAGAAAUGGUACAGAGCCAUGAGUAGGAACAGUGAUACACACAACACUAUUUAUCUCAGUGUAGCUGAUAUCUACCCAUGAACAAAUCUCUGAAGCCCCCACUGCUUCCAUAUGUCAAGUGAGAAAUGAGUUUCUUCUGAUCCUUCUCUUCAUUUCUGCCUAAAAGUCCCAGCAUGGCUGUGUAUGGGGACACACAUUUUUGGUCUUUUUGUAGGGUUUCACUGUGACUGCAGGGAAGCAAGCUCCAUCUCAUGUCAGGAGACCUACAGGGAGUCAUGCCACGGUGUGAGCUGCUGCAAAGCCAUUCCCAAACACUGCUGGAGCAGCCCCGUCGAGGCAGGUGCCCAUCAUGGAAUGAGAAAGCAUCUGCAGAAGGACUUCAACAUGAGUUUUUGUCUGUUUGUACGUGUAAAAACACUUCUGAACAUCUGAAUAAGUUACUGACAAGUCCAUCAGGUCCUUCCAGAAACUCAGAUAAAUGUGAGGGAUACCUUCCAUCUCCAUAA
rnacentral:lncRNA from 1 species